AGUGAACGCUGGCGGUAGGCCUAACACAUGCAAGUCGAACGGCAGCACAGUAAGAGCUUGCUCUUACGGGUGGCGAGUGGCGGACGGGUGAGGAAUACAUCGGAAUCUACUUUUUUGUGGGGGAUAACGUAGGGAAACUUACGCUAAUACCGCAUACGACCUACGGGUGAAAGCAGGGGAUCUUCGGACCUUGCGCGAUUGAAUGAGCCGAUGUCGGAUUAGCUAGUUGGCGGGGUAAAGGCCCACCAAGGCGACGAUCCGUAGCUGGUCUGAGAGGAUGAUCGGCCACACUGGAGCGGAGACACGGUCCAGACUCCUACGGGAGGCAGCAGUGGGGAAUAUUGGACAAUGGGCGCAAGCCUGAUCCAGCCAUACCGCGUGGGUGAAGAAGGCGUUCGGGUUGUAAUGCCCUUUUGUUGGGAAAGAAAAGCAGCAGGUUAAUACCCCGCUGUUCUGACGGUACCCAAAGAAGAAGCACCGGCUAACUUCGUG
rnacentral:rRNA from 1 species